AUUGAACGCUGGCGGCAUGCCUAACACAUGCAAGUCGAACGGUAACAGUAGGAAGCUUGCUUUCUAGCUGACGAGUGGCGGACGGGUGAGUAAUACGUAGGAAUCUGCCCUAAAGUGGGGGACAACCCGGGGAAACUCGGGCUAAUACCGCAUAAUGUCUACGGACAAAAGGCUGGCACUUGUGCCAGUCACUUUAGGAUGAGCUUACGCUGGAUUAGCUAGUUGGUGGGGUAAAGGCCUACCAAGGCAACGAUCCAUAGCUGUUUUGAGAGGAAGAUCAGCCACACUGGGACUGAGACACGGCCCAG
rnacentral:rRNA from 1 species